AUGAAUUGGUUGAAUCGGCGGCAGAGAUGUUGUAUGGUUUGAUUCAUGUUCGGUACAUUUUGACUAGCAAGGGAAUAGCCGCUAUGUUGGAGAAGUACAAAAACUACGACUUUGGAAGAUGCCCACGAGUUUACUGCAGUGGACAGCCUUGUCUUCCCGUUGGUCAAUCAGAUAUUCCGCGUGCAAGUACUGUAAAAAUAUACUGUCCGAAGUGUGAGGACAUCUAUUACCCUCGAUCGAAGUACCAAGGCAAUAUUGAUGGAGCUUACUUUGGGACGACAUUUCCUCAUCUCUUCUUGAUGACUUAUGGACACCUCAAACCGCAAAAACCAACGCAAAACUUUGUCCCCAGGGUGUUUGGCUUCAAGAUCCACAAGACUUGACAGUAAAGCCCGUUAUGAUGUUGUAAACAGAUCAAAUUUUCUGCCAGUAAUGAUUAUUGCUAGGUAGCUUUGAUGUACAAUUGGUUAUGGUAGAGACAGGUGAAGCAGAUGAGUUGGUGAUAAUUAUGAAACAUUCUUCUUCAUUGAUGAAAGGCAACUUGGGCCAAUCUGUCAGGUGAAAUUUAUUCCCAGAAUAUUGCCAUGACAGCAUUUGUAAAGCUUGUUUCAUCACACCAGUUUGAGAAUUGAUUUAUAUUUCCUUCUCGACGACCAGUUUUCGUGGCCACUCUAAUGGUCUUUUCAUCUCUCUUCAGUAUUUACUCCUACCAUCAGGAUCAUAGACUAGGGUAUAUAACCCUUCCUUUUUUAGGACAAUUUCCAGUUGUAAUGAUGUGUGAUGGUAUAUUAAAUGGU
rnacentral:misc_RNA from 1 species